rnacentral:rRNA from 1 species
GUGGCGAACGGGUGAGUAACACGUGAGCAAUCUGCCCUUGACUCUGGGAUAACUGCGGGAAACUGUAGCUAAUACCGGAUACUUUCCUCGCUGGGCAUCCAGCGGGGAAGAAAGAAUUUCGGUCAAGGAUGAGCUCGCGGCCUAUCAGCUAGUUGGUGAGGUAAAGGCUCACCAAGGCGACGACGGGUAGCCGGCCUGAGAGGGUGACCGGCCACACUGGAACUGAGACACGGUCCAGACUCCUACGGGAGGCAGCAGUGGGGAAUAUUGCACAAUGGGCGAAAGCCUGAUGCAGCAACGCCGCGUGAGGGAUGAAGGCCUUCGGGUUGUAAACCUCUUUUAGCAGGGAAGAAGCGAAAGUGACGGUACCUGCAGAAAAAGCACCGGCUAACUACGUGCCAGCAGCCGCGGUAAUACGUAGGGUGCAAGCGUCGUCCGGAAUUAUUGGGCGUAAAGAGCUCGUAGGCGGUUUGUCACGUCUGCUGUGAAAAUCCGAGGCUCAACCUCGGACUUGCAGUGGGUACGGGCAGGCUAGAGUGCGGUAGGGGAGAAGGGAAUUCCUGGUGUAGCGGUGGAAUGCGCAGAUAUCAGGAGGAACACCAAUGGCGAAGGCACUUCUCUGGGCCGUAACUGACGCUGAGGAGCGAAAGCGUGGGGAGCGAACAGGAUUAGAUACCCUGGUAGUCCAC